rnacentral:rRNA from 1 species
UACGUAGGGUGCGAGCGUUAAUCGGAAUUACUGGGCGUAAAGCGUGCGUAGGCGGUUCGUUAAGUUCGUUGUGAAAGCCCCGGGCUCAACCUGGGAAUUGCAUUCGAGACUGCGUAGCUAGGGUGCGGAAGAGGGAAGCGGAAUUUCCGGUGUAGCGGUGAAAUGCGUAGAUAUCGGAAGGAACACCAGUGGCGAAAGCGGCUUCCUGGUCCAGCACCGACGUUCAGGCACGAAAGCGUGGGGAGCAAACAGG